rnacentral:rRNA from 1 species
UACGGAGGGUGCGAGCGUUGUCCGGAAUCACUGGGCGUAAAGGGCGCGUAGGCGGCGCGAGCAGUCGAUCGUGAAAGUCCGGAGCUCAACUCCGGAUCGGCGGUCGAUACUCUCGUGCUUGAGCACUGUAGAGGCAGAUGGAAUUCCGGGUGUAGCGGUGGAAUGCGUAGAGAUCCGGAAGAACACCGGUGGCGAAGGCGGUCUGCUGGGCAGUUGCUGACGCUGAUGCGCGACAGCGUGGGGAGCAAACGGG